AAGUCGUAACAAGGUAACCGUAGGUGAACCUGCGGUUGGAUCAUUAAUUAUAUCCGGUGGGGGUGAGUAGCACAGCAUUUCGCCAGGUUUUGUUCAUCAAUGAAGCCUCGGUUUUCGCUUCCUUCAGUUAGCACUUGCUGUUGCAUGUCCCCCUAUACCAAACAUUAUGUGAACCGAUCCGUCUCUGGCGAGGGGGUAGUAAUUAAAACCUACUACUUGUCAGCAAAUGUCGUGUGCACAUUUGCCGUGGACACCUCGUCAACAGGUCUUACACCUUUGCUUUAUUUUGAUUGUCUGACAUAACAUGUAUAAAUAUACAAAACAACUUUUGGCAACGGAUCUCUUGGCUCUC
rnacentral:misc_RNA from 1 species